rnacentral:rRNA from 1 species
CAGCAGCCGCGGUAAUACGGAGGGCGCGAGCGUUACCCGGAUUUACUGGGCGUAAAGGGCGUGUAGGCGGCCUGGGGCGUCCCAUGUGAAAGGCCACGGCUCAACCGUGGAGGAGCGUGGGAUACGCUCAGGCUAGAGGGUGGGAGAGGGUGGUGGAAUUCCCGGAGUAGCGGUGAAAUGCGCAGAUACCGGGAGGAACGCCGAUGGCGAAGGCAGCCACCUGGUCCACUUCUGACGCUGAGGCGCGAAAGCGUGGGGAGCAAACCGGAUUAGAUACCCGCGUAGUCCCUGUCUCUUAUAC